GCCUCUGUAGCUUAGUUGGUUAGACCGCUGCACAGAAACUGCAGGGUUGCAGUUUCGAUUCCUGCCAGGAACC